rnacentral:tRNA from 1 species
GCCCUGGUGGCAUAGUGGUUAAGUGCUACGGCUGCUAACCAUGAGGUGUGCAGUUCGAAUCUGCCAGGAGCU